CCGACCUUAGCUCAGUUGGUAGAGCGGAGGACUGUAGUGUGUUGCAGGUGAAAUCCUUAGGUCGCUGGUUCGAAUCCGGCAGGUCGGA
rnacentral:tRNA from 2 species